GGGCCUAUAGUAAAGUGGUAUUACGCGUCGUUCGCAACGACGAGGCGCGAGUCCGAUUCUCGCUAGGUCCACAA
rnacentral:tRNA from 1 species